GAUGAACGCUGGCGGCGUGCCUAACACAUGCAAGUCGAGCGAUUCUCUUCGGAGAAGAGCGGCGGACGGGUGAGUAACGCGUGGGUAACCUGCCCUGUACACACGGAUAACAUACCGAAAGGUAUGCUAAUACGGGAUAACAUAAGAAAUUCGCAUGUUUUUCUUAUCAAAGCUCCGGCGGUACAGGAUGGACCCGCGUCUGAUUAGCUAGUUGGUGAGAUAACGGCUCACCAAGGCGACGAUCAGUAGCCGACCUGAGAGGGUGAUCGGCCACAUUGGAACUGAGACACGGUCCAAACUCCUACGGGAGGCAGCAGUGGGGAAUAUUGCACAAUGGGCGAAAGCCUGAUGCAGCAACGCCGCGUGAGCGAUGAAGGCCUUCGGGUCGUAAAGCUCUGUCCUCAAGGAAGAUAAUGACGGUACUUGAGGAGGAAGCCCCGGCUAACUACGUG
rnacentral:rRNA from 1 species